rnacentral:rRNA from 1 species
GGGUGCGAUCAUACCAGCACUAAUGCACCGGAUCCCAUCAGAACUCCACAGUUAAGCGUGCUUGGGCGAGAGUAGUACUAGGAUGGCACUAGUAGAAUAAAUGCUAUUUGCUGCGG